GCCGGGCGUGGUGGCUCACGCCUGUAAUCCCAGCACUUUGGAGGCCAAGGCGGGUGGAUCACUUGAGGUCAGGAGUUCAAGACCAGCCUGACCAAUAUGGUGAAACCCCAUCUUUU
rnacentral:sRNA from 13 species